rnacentral:lncRNA from 1 species
AUUAGACUAAAUUUUUCCACUGCAUUUCAGUGUGAUUAGAAAUGCGUUGAGUUGUAUUUAAAAUGCUGGCAUCUUAAAUCAAUCUAUUUCAUUUCAUCCCAUAAGAGAGUACAUGUGUCCAAAUCACUGUGGAUGUACUCGAAUACAUAGGCAUACCAUCCGUAAAGCUGUAAUAAAUAUUUAAUAUUCAACUAAGACAGCAGAAAACAUCAGACAAUGAGGAAAAAAGAUCAUUUCUUACAAAACGAAAUUUCAAGGUGGCAACUGAAAAGAAGUAAUGGCUACUCACCGCACUAAUGUUUUGUUGAGUUGUAAUAAAGAAUGUCUCUAAACCAUGAAGGAGAAUAAGAGAAGCAUGCUG